GGUAAGGUAACGGCUUACCAAGGCGACGAUCAGUAGCCGGCCUGAGAGGGUGAACGGCCACACUGGAACUGAGACACGGUCCAGACUCCUACGGGAGGCAGCAGUGGGGGAUAUUGCACAAUGGGGGAAACCCUGAUGCAGCGAUGCCGCGUGAAUGAUGAAGGCUUUCGAGUCGUAAAGUUCUGUUCUAAGGGAAGAUAGUGACGGUACCUUAGAAGAAAGUCCCGGCUAAAUACGUGCCAGCAGCCGCGGUAAUACGUAUGGGACGAGCGUUAUCCGGAAUUAUUGGGCGUAAAGAGUUCGUAGGCGGUCCUUUAAGUCAGAAGUGAAAGGCAGUGGCUCAACCAUUGUAAGCUUUUGAAACUGGGGGACUUGAGUGUUGGAGAGGAAAGCGGAAUUCCUAGUGUAGCGGUGAAAUGCGUAGAUAUUAGGAGGAACACCAGUGGCGAAGGCGGCUUUCUGGACAAAUACUGACGCUGAGGAACGAAAGCGUGGGG
rnacentral:rRNA from 1 species